GAUGAAGAACGCAGCGAAAUGCGAUAAGUAAUGCGAAUUGCAGAAUUUCCGUGAGUCAUCGAAUCUUUGAACGCACAUUGCGCCCGCCAGUAUUCUGGCGGGCAUGCCUGUUCGAGCGUCAUUUCAACCCUCAAGCACAGCUUGGUGUUGGGACUCGCGUUAAUUCGCGUUCCUCAAAUUGAUUGGCGGUCACGUCGAGCUUCCAUAGCGUAGUAGUAAAACCCUCGUUACUGGUAAUCGUCGCGGCCACGCCGUUAAACCCCAACUUCUGAAUGUUGACCUCGGAUCAGGUAGGAAUACCCGCUGAACUUAAGCAUAUCAAUAAGCGGAGGA
rnacentral:misc_RNA from 1 species